rnacentral:rRNA from 1 species
AAAAUAAUCCAUACCAUCAGUUAAGGUCCCAAAAUGCGGCUCAGUGAAAAAGGAUGUGAUUUUGCUUAGACAAUGGGGAUGUUGGCUUAGAGGCAGCCAUCAUUUAAACAGUGCGUAACAGCUGACCCAUCGAGCGAAAUUGCGCCGAAAAUGAUCGGGACUUAAGCCGUAUACCGAAGCUAUGGGUUUACCGUAAGGUAAGCAGUAGGAAAGCGUUCCAAGUGCAGCGAAGUGGAAGGGUAACCGACCAUGGAGCGCUUGGAAGUGAGAAUGCAGACAUAAGUAACGAUAAAGAUGGUUGAAUUCCAUCUCGCCUAAAUCCCAAGGAUUCCUGGGGAAGGUUCGUCCUCCCAGGGUUAGUCGGGUGCUAAGACGAGGCCGUAAGGAGUAGUCGAUGCCAAGCUGGUUUAAUAUUCCAGCACCACUCGAAACCGUUUGAUCCAUAGAGUGACGGAGAAAGUUAACAGAGCAACGUGUUGAAUCGUUGUCUACGCUCGUAGGCUGUUCGGGGAUAAAAUACCGAAUAAGGCCGUAAAGUAAUGGGACCUCAAAGCUACGGCUGAGAGGGAUUCUGUGAUACUAUGCUUCCAAGAAAAACUUUGUGGUUAGGCCAAGAGUGCCCGUACCGUAAACCGACACAGGUGGGAAAGAUGAGUAUUCUAAGGCGCGCGAGUCAAAUCUCUCUAAGGAACUCGGCAAAUUAACCCCGUAUCUUCGGUAUAAGGGGUGCCUCGAAAGAGGCCGCAGUUAAUUGCGUCAACCGACUGUUUAGCAAAAACACAGCACUCUGCUAAGUCGCAAGACGACGUAUAGGGUGUGACACGUGACCAAUGCGGAAAGGUGAAAGUCUAGGGUGCAAGCUCUGGAUCUAAGCCCCCGUGAAUGUCGGCCGUAACUAUAACGGUCCUAAGGUAGCGAAAUUCCUUGUCGGGUAAGUUCCGACCCGCACGAAUCGUGUAACGAGUUGACGACUGUCUCGGAGAGAGGCUCGGUGAAAUUGUAGUGGCGGUGAAGAUGCCGCCUACCCGCAGCAGGACGGAAAGACCCUAUGCACCUUUACUGUAAGCUGUUAUUGUCGCUUGAUUUUUAAUACGUAGAAUAGGUGGGAGACUUCGAAGCUUGGUCUCAGGAUCAGGCUGAGUCACAAUGUGAAAUACCACUUUUUAAUUGUUAGGCGUCUAACCUCACACCAUUAUCUGGUUGAGGGACAGUGAUAGCAGGUCAGUUUUUCUGGGGCGGAAUCCUCCCAAAAAGUAACGGAGGAUUACGAAGGUUCCCUCGGCCCGGUCGGUAAUCGGGCUAUAGAGCGCAUGAGUAUAAGGGAGCUUUACUGUGAGACCAACAAGUCGAGCAGUUGCGAAAGCAGGUUCAAGUGAUCCGGUGGUUGAAUGUG